AUGCUGAUGAUGGAGAGUGACGCUGCGCGGACGCCACGCUCUGAUUGGCUGCACGCUCGCGACGCUCUUGACGCGCUGUCCUGCAGCAGCGGCGCGGGGCAGACGCUCGCUCGCGGAGGUGAUGCUGAAGACGCUCUCGGCUUCUGUCAGAAACGGCCAUCAGCUGAGAGACGGAGGUCCACGACAUCGCGAGCAGAAGCCGCUGCUGGAGAACAAGACUAAGGAGCCUGGCCUGGAUUCUGCUUUCACACAUCAGGACGAGAUGGAUCUGCUCGAGCGCCGCUCCGCUGAGGAGGAGCACCAGACAUCCCAGAGGAUAAUGUGUUUGAGCGACGGAGGAUACGAACUGCAAAAUCAUCAGAUGGUGACAGACAUGGAGAAUAACAUCACAGUGAACACACAUCCACUGGAGAGCACAGUACUGAUCAUCCAGCAUGACUGGCGAGACUUCCUGCAGACACAGGAUAUCCUGGAGAAGAGAAGCCCCUCCCCUCCCUCUCUGUCCUCAGACAAGAUGAGCACGUCCAUCAGCAUGACCACCCUAUCAGAUGGCAGCACCCCCUGGCCUGUUUUAACCAGUGUAUUCCAAGGAUUAUAGUGUUAUGGCAGCAGCUUAUACAGUAUGAGCCUUUGGUGUGCCCUUGGUUGUUGGUGCCCUACACAAACUGCCUCAUCUGCGUAUAGGAAACUAUAGUACUUGUGUCUUCACUAUAGGUUGUAGGACCUCAGGGAAAACACAGUGAGCUCAAGGGAGGCAAAUGAGACACUGCUACUGUCUGAAAGUAUAUCUGCUGUGAGAAAUAAACCAUUUAGACACUUUUUCA
ensembl:lncRNA